rnacentral:pre_miRNA from 1 species
GAGACACCCUUCUGGGGCAGGACUCACUUCAGUGGGGCUUUGGUGCUCACUGAGUCUGCUCCUUGAGUGUGUCGCU